UACGUAGGGGGCAAGCGUUGUCCGGAAUCAUUGGGCGUAAAGCGCGUGUAGGCGGUCCGGUAAGUCCGCUGUGAAAGUCGGGGGGCUCAACCCUCGGAUGCCGGUGGAUACUGUCGGGCUUGAGUACGGAAGAGGCGAGUGGAAUUCCUGGUGUAGCGGUGAAAUGCGCAGAUAUCAGGAGGAACACCAAUUGCGAAGGCAGCUCGCUGGGACGUUACUGACGCUGAGACGCGAAAGCGUGGGGAGCAAACAGGAU
rnacentral:rRNA from 1 species